AUUGAACGCUGGCGGCAGGCCUAACACAUGCAAGUCGAGCGGAUGAAGGGGGCUUGCUCCUGGAUUCAGCGGCGGACGGGUGAGUAAUGCCUAGGAAUCUGCCUGGUAGUGGGGGAUAACGUCCGGAAACGGGCGCUAAUACCGCAUACGUCCUGAGGGAGAAAGUGGGGGAUCUUCGGACCUCACGCUAUCAGCUGAGCCUAGGUCGGAUUAGCUAGUUGGUGGGGUAAAGGCCUACCAAGGCGACGAUCCGUAACUGGUCUGAGAGGAUGAUCAGUCACACUGGAACUGAGACACGGUCCAGACUCCUACGGGAGGCAGCAGUGGGGAAUAUUGGACAAUGGGCGAAAGCCUGAUCCAGCCAAGCCGCGUGUGUGAAGAAGGUCUUCGGAUUGUAAAGCACUUUAAGUUGGGAGGAAGGGCAGUAAGUUAAUACCUUGCUGUUUUGACGUUACCAACAGAAUAAGCACCGGCUAACUUCGUG
rnacentral:rRNA from 1 species